GACAGAGGUCCCGAGCGUUAUGCGGAAUCACUGGGCUUAAAGCGUGUGUAGGCGGAUGCCUAAGUACCUUGUGAAAUCCCACGGCUUAACCGUGGAACUGCUCGGUAUACUGGGUGUCUUGAGCCACUUAGGGGCUACCGGAACAAAUGGUGGAGCGGUGAAAUGCGUAGAUAUCAGGAGGAACACCAAUUGCGAAGGCAGCUCGCUGGGACGUUACUGACGCUGAGACGCGAAAGCGUGGGGAGCAAACAGG
rnacentral:rRNA from 1 species